GUCUCUAUAGCUCAAUGGAUAGAGCGUCUGGCUUCGGACCAGAAGGUUGGGGGUUCGAGCCCCUCUAGGGACGCCA
rnacentral:tRNA from 1 species